rnacentral:rRNA from 1 species
UACGGGGGGGGUAAGCGUUGUUCGGAAUUACUGGGCGUAAAGGGCUCGUAGGCGGCCAACUAAGUCAGACGUGAAAUCCCUCAGCUUAACUGGGGAACUGCGUCUGAUACUGGAUGGCUUGGAUUUGGGAGAGGGAUGCGGAAUUCCAGGUGUAGCGGUGAAAUGCGCAGAUAUCGGGAGGAACACCAGUGGCGAAGGCGGCACUCUGGGCCGGUACUGACGCUGAGGAGCGAAAGCGUGGGGAGCGAACAGG